rnacentral:rRNA from 1 species
CCCUUAGAUGUUCUGGGCCGCACACGCGCUACACUGAAGGAGGCAGCGUGUACUCCUGGAUCGAAAGAUUUGGGUAACCCGCGAAUCUCCUUCGUGCUAGGGAUUGAGGUUUGCAAUUAUCCUUCAUGAACGAGGAAUUCCCAGUAAGUGCAAGUCAUAAGCUUGCGCUGACUACGUCCCUGCCCUUUGUACACACCGCCCGUCGCUCCUACCGAUUGAGUGCUUCGGUGAAUAACUCGGACUGUAGCAGUUCGCAGUUCCUGCGUCUGCCGCGGAAAGUUUAGUGAACCUCAGCACUUAGAGGAAGGAGAAGUCGUAACA